AUGCCUCAACUAUGCAACUUGCUGUACAUCUGGAGAUACACAGGACUUAUUCUCACUGUAACAUCAGGUGGUUUUGCAGAUGAAAUUGGGCCAGUAGAUGCCAACGUUGUGAGGAAAGAAACAGAGACUGUUACUCUAAAAUGUUCAUAUCAGUCCAGCAGCAGCUACAUUGAUCUUUACUGGUACAAACACAAUCCUAACAGCGCACCACAGUUUUUACUGUAUAAAGGUGCCAAAUCACGUAGUAGUGCAGAGAAAAAACCAACAGACUCUCGCUUAAAGUCAAACACAGAUGAUACAUCUACUGAACUCACCAUCAACAAUCUAAAGCUGACAGAUUCUGCUCUCUAUCACUGUGCUCUUCAAGUAGUAGCCCAGUGA